GGUGAAGCAGAAGGGGCACAGAGCCCGCAGUCACCGGAGCGAUGGAGUGAGUGUCACCAGGGGCAGCGCGAGAAUGUGCUGCCUGUGGGGAUACAAGAGGGAGGAGAAAAGCAGACACAUGAACCUUGAGUGCACCUAUGAGAUGGGCCAGGGUGUAUCACCAUUCUUCCACUCUUUUCAUCCAGCUGGUGGGACCAAGAGUGGCUGCUGCUUCAUAAUCAGCGACCUGGAGAUGGCUCUGAGAACGUUUUAGGGAAGCAUGACUGUGACUGACAAAAAAGACCCAGAAAAGAAUAUUAAGGCUCACUCUCAGGCUUUGUCUGCACUGGGGAAUUUCUUCCCUCCUCCAAAUUCCCACCAUUGCCAAUAUGAAUGCAGCUGCACAAUUGUUAGAGAUGUUGUGAGGCAUAAUAUAUGAGUUUUCAUCUAGUCAGCCAUUUGCAGUACUGUGUCAAUUAACCCUCCUCAGAGCAGGGUUAACUGAUACAGUGCUGAAAACGGCUGCUGGAGCUGAAAGCUGUCUAUACUAAGGUUCCCAUUGUUGCUAACUGGUGCAGCUGCAGUGGAAUCAGUCCACGUGGGAUUAUUUGGUAACAAUUCUCCAAUAGAAACUGCUUCAAAAUGCAACACAGCCACCUAAUGGGCCAAAACAUGCUUCCACUGCACCUCAACAGCUAUGCACCCAUGCUGUUGCCACUCAUAAUGGGAUUUCUUUCGGUCCAGAAGUAUAGGGCUGCAUAGAUUUGAAAAGUAGAAUCAAGAGGGAAACUAAUGAAACAAGGAAUAAGGAGUUGAAAUUCAUCUGAGUUUUGAUCCUAAAGUGACCACCAGACUGUUUUUGUAAGAUUCUGCCACUGCUGCAGUCAUCAGAGAAGUCAACUGAAACCAUCUUAGUUUUGAAGAGAGAGGCAUCCACAAGAAGAACUGAGUCUCCUUCCUUCAUUUAUAUUGCAAAGGGUUUUAGCACAACAGUGGAAUAAAUUCCUUAGAUAAAAAAAUACUGCCUCUCCUGACAGUUUAGAAGAUGUUAAUAUCUUGGGGCCAAAUUUUAAAGUUUUAACUUGAUUCUUUUUCUUCCACUCCUUGGGUAGAAGUUCAUAUGUUUUAACAGUUUUGCCUAAGGCAAAACCUCAGGAUUCAACUCUUAGAGAACAGCAAGUAUCUUAAAAAUAAUCCUAAAUUCAAGUAAGAUCCUUCAGGCCGAAACCAUUCCAGGAUCUACAGGAGAGAUCAUCAUAAGUCUUUAAGCAAAAAACUGAAACAUCAUUAUUUAAGCCUGGGAACACUGUUUUAAAGCAACACUCUUUGAUGUUCUAGAAAAAUGUAAACAAAAGAUGUAAUUUGUGAGGUUGAUAAUUGAUCAAGUUUUCAGAGUGCAAAAUAGCCCUACAGGAAUCUGGUAGAAGUAUCUGAAAUUACUGUAGGGAAGAAACUUGAUCUUAUUUUAAACGUAAUUAAAGCCUUCUGCAUCUCCACAAAACCUCCAAAACCCUGGGGAUCUCUGAUGGUUUACCCUCUGGGGAGAACACACAGAUAUGAAUUUUAAUAGUGUCUUUUGGUAAUGUGGUGGAUAAAGACAAAUUGAUUACAGCAGUCUGGAAAAAAGCAGGUGAUGUGUUACCAGGGCCAUUGGGUUCAUGUUUUCCCAGACAUGGUGAGGGCCACCCAGAUUGUAAAAGAAAGCUGAUAUCUUUAAAAACUUGAUUUGGGGCUUGAUAUGGCAUUCUUAUUUCCGGAUACACUGGAUUAUAUCAAAAGAAAAAUAAGACGUAUGAUACAGAUUCUGUUCUUGUGUACACUAAACCAAAUCUAGGCUAAAACUUCUGACACCAAUGGAUUUGCCUCAGAUUUAUGCCCAAUAGAAGAGCAGUACUGUCCUUCUUAUUGUAAUGUCUAUCAUUAUUAUCUGACAAGCACUGUGAAACCGAAAAAGAGUAAAAGUCUGAGAAAUCUGAACUUUGCAAUAAGUGUUUCUACAAAUUUGCAUGGAAUACCAAAUAGAAUAUUCUUGUAGAAGUCCCUUAUGAAGAUAUUUGUGUGUGGUUGCAGAGGACGUGGUUAUUUUAAUUUUGUUCCCAAGAGAAACUAGGUGUGCAUUCUGAUGGGACAUAAAGUGAGUUUGUAGUGACAGCUGUAGGCUCCUUGCACUCUAUUUCUUUCUACACCAUUUGGAGUUAUACUAUUACAAUUAGAGACAGACAUAUUAACUGAAAAGACAAUUCAAUAACAUGCCUGAAUAUCACAGCAGAUGGAAAGAUGAAUGCCAGUCCUAUUGUUCAAUUAUCUAUCCUUGAACUUUGUCUAAUUUUGCUGAUUGUUAUUUGGUACAUGUGAAUAUACACAUAUCAGUUCAAGUUUGCACAUAUGGAUCAGCUUGACAUUUGAUCUGCUUUCAGAUCUAGGCACUUUUCAGUACCAUAGGUAUCUCUGCAGCCUGCCACAGAGCCAUGAACUUGGUGUGCUGGGGAGCCUCACUCCUUCCAGUAUUCCAUAUUAGCCUUGCUUUGGAAAGGACAUGGACUCAAUACAAAUACAAACUAAUUGUUCCUACAGACGUGUGGCCCUGGAAAGCUCUGCUGAGCUGCAUCUAACUGGAAAAAAUAAAACACCUCUUUCUGUGCCAUGGGAAAGCCAAAAACUUUGCUUUUUCAGAUGCACAGGGUUGUCCUUUAACUGGGCUAGAAAUGAGGUAAAUAAUUUAAAACAACCACAAAGAGAGAAAUCCUGAGUGGUCAUCCUGUCUGUUGAGACUGUUUAUAUUUCUAAGUCAAUGUUAAGUAGUCCUCACCCAGAUCACAGCACCUACACUGAAAACAGCAAGUGGAACUUCCUUAACCACUAGAAUGAAGUCUUGGCCUUAGAUUCUUAUUUACAUUUUGCAAUGGCACAACCCUUACAGAAAGAAUACAGAAAGCCAGUCUUCUCCCUCAUUCCAGUAAUCUUCAAUCUGGAAGUUAGACUGCCCUGCCAGCAGAGCUGGGGAUUGACCCAGGUCUUUUGUGUUGAAAGUGCAUGCUCAAAGCAUUAUAUCAAAGGCAAGAUGGCAAGGCUACCAGAACUGGAGCCUUGUUUCAGGAGAUAAAUGAGCUGUGCUGGGUCCUGAAGAAAGGACUCUUGAUAUCCUUCUUCAAGAAGUGCCAGGCUGCAGAUGCAGAGUGAAUGGAAACAGUUCCUAGAGGAACAGGCUUUAUGAGAUCCACGGGGAAGCAGGUGUACAGUAUUACCCAUGUCCUUAAAAUGUCUCAACUGGCCAAUUCCAAGCUUCUAGAGCAGGUUAACUUGUCAGCUGUUCUGAAAGCCAGCUCUUCCCCUACUGCAGAGGGAGCAUGAGCAUCUAGCACAGAGUGAGCGCCAAGGAGCAGAUGUCAGAAGGCUGGUGUUGCAACAAUUAACUUUUAGGCACUUGAAUCCUCACUGAAUCUGACCUUCUGCAUCUGUGAACCACUUUGGAAACCAAACCACUAGCCUAAAUUCUUCAGGUCUUGCAGAAUGGUGCCUGCAUACCUGAAAGGAUCGAGGUUAUUCACCUUGCAUUUACAAAGGGUGUGCUGGCUUAGCUGCCCAUGUCUACAAGUUGUAGGUAUCCCAGGUGUCUGGCUGCAUUCCUCUGUCCACCCAAGGAACAUGAGAUACAAAUAGGCAAAUAUUUAAUUUUAUUUGAUUUGGGGUUUUCUGUGCAAGGUCUGAAAUUACACAGCUCUGUAAUGGAGACUUUUCUUCUGAAUUACAAGCCAGUGAUAUACCUUUAUAUCAAUACUAUUCAUUUAUCCAAAUAGGUGCUAAAAAGGCUUAGCUGGUAUGAUACAAGUUAGUAUCAAUCUUUUGAUCCAAAGCUCAUUUUAUUGUAUAUUUAAAAAUAAUAUUAUAUUAUGCAACUCUCAACCUGCAUCAAUCUUUCUCCUCAAUAAAAUACAAUAUAGUAAUUCACCUCUAGAACAGCAGAAUGUUUUCAUCUUGUAAUAAGCAUCAGUGCACGGUAAACAAGGAGAUGAUGAUGUUUUCCUACACAACAGAGUGAGUCUUUCACAUGAGAAGUUGGGAGAGGACACUGUUAGGCACACAGAAAUUCUGUAAGAACAGAUGUUGAUGUCUUUUCUGAUAGAUUUAUAAGACUGGGACUUACUGGCUUCAGAGAGUGACUCAAAAACCAAUCAAGACCAAUUGAAGUGAUACUAUGUAAUAUCUGUUUGUCAUAUACUUAUAUAUCAUGGUAUGAUUUUACAGCUUAUUUGCAAUCUAGCAGAGUUUAUACAAUUAAAACAAUGAUCAGUUAAUAUAGUAUGAUGACAAAAACCUACACAAUAAAAGUGUCUCCAUGACUUCUAGAUGCAAGGAUAUGGAUUUCCCACAGAGUUGUGGCAGAGUCUGUAAAUUACACUGUUUGGUUUUUUUUCCUUCUUUCUUAUUUUGCUGUUGAGAUGAAACAUUGACUAGUUUCUUCUAUCCCAUUCCAGCCCUGGAUAGCUGUACUCAUUACAGAGCUAACCAUAAUAUGCUAGCAUCUAGGCUGCCAUUUUUCAGUGAUGUUAGUGAUGUUGCUGGAAACACUGACAAGAACUACCACACCAUGGCUUAGAAUUAUCAGAAAGUAAUUGAGCAACAUACAUAUUGAUGUGGAGUACAAUCCCAUCUCCCAGAAGGCCACUGACUGAUGAAGGAUCACAAACCCAAACAGAAGGAAGCUUCAAGUCAAUUUACUGGCAUAUAAUGCUCCCUGUGCUUAAUUGUUUAGAUCAAAUACUGGUAACUUCCAAUAGAAUAAGUUCAGCUUCACAAGUUGAGGGUUUGUAUUUCUACAGCUCUCGGUCUUUGUUCAGUAUUUUAAACUGAAUAUAUAUAGUUGUAACCAUCUAGUUGCUUUCUUUGUGCUUGCUAAGUUCAUAGUCUGAAACUUGCAGCAAUCAGUUCCUUUACCUAGCUGUUUACCAAUUAAGUCAUAUUGCAAAAUCCAUUCACAUUUGAAUAACCUUCAGUUACACUGAGAGAGUAGGCAUCAUAUUUGUCUUCCCAGCACUGUUCACUACAGCCUGCAAAAAGACACAAUAAACAGUUCCUGUCUUGUAAUUUGCCUUAGCUGGAUCUCCCAUCUGACAGACCUUCCAAGGAAUUACCCAACUGUGCCCUGCUUUCUUGCCUUUAUCGCUCAGAGUUCAGAUUUGAUCAACCUAUCAGUCGCUUUGACAAGCUACAAUAAAGGAAAAAAAAGCCACACAGCUAUAAUUACACAUUGCUCUUUCUAAAAAUGUGACCAACUUUCAAAUGCUAUCCAACAUGUGAGAAACUCACUGGCUUAACAGUACUGCUGCCAGAAAACUAGCAGGAGCAAAAUUAGCCAGCUGAGAAUAUUAAUGAACUUCAAGAGAGAGAACUGGAGACCUGUCUUCGAAGUCAGCAGCAGAAAUAAUACAGUUCUGUAGUAUGGUUCUCCCGUGAUGAACUUGCUGUUCCAAAAGGCAGUAUACUUUCAGAGCCUGGCAAAGCUGGCAGAAGGAAACAUCCAGUCAAAGCCUGUAACUUAGGACCAAGUUUUCCAACUGCUUGGGCAGCUUCUGACUUGUACAGGUAACAGUGAAGAGCAGUGGAUUCAUAUUUCACAGAGCUCAGAAUCAAAAUCAGAAUCAGUGUGGAGAGAUAGGGAAAGGACGAAAACUGAGGCAGAGCAAACAGCAAACAGGUAAUUACCAACCCUUGCUGGUACCAAACAAAACCUUUCCCAUUAGCUUUUGUUUACUCCCCCUAUGUAGUAGGUGCUCUGUCUCUCAUUUUUCACAAUCCUAUAGAUGAGUUAACUGAGGAUCUAUCUCUAUAAAACAGGGAAUCCAUUUUAGUAGGUUGACUGAGUUAGUUGGCUAGUCCUCCCAUUGGAGCAAUUUGCUAACAGCAGGAGUGUAUCCAGCAAAAUGUAGCUCUUCACACAGACCUCCCAAGUUGUCCCAUCUCUCCAUCAGAGAAACUUUUGUGAGGCCUGGGGAAGGGAGAGUCCUUCUGUAAAAAUAUAAAUAAAAAUGCCAUGUCUAGGUGGAACCCUGGAAAAAUUCCAUGGAAGACUACCUCAUUAUGAACUCUUUUCCUACACACUGUACACUAAUCUGAAAUAUUAAAGAGCAAGGCAGAAUAUUAAUGGAGAAAGCAGAGAGGCUUCAAGUAAGUGGGAUCUGGACUCAUUUGCUUUUGCUUUUUCAGAUUAUCUAGGAGAUCUUUGGUGAGAGAUACAGCUGCUGUGCCUCAUUUUCUCCACAGAAAAUAAAAAUUAAUUAAUGCCAGUGAUGUGCCUCCCAGAACCAUCCGGACAGAUAAUUUACUAGGAUUUACAAAAAUCUGGUAAGGAGGAGCGAUGUAUUUUUAAAAUAAAUAAAGUAAGUGUGGCCCACACUCCAAAUGGCUAGUGCAAUACACAGAACAAGGAUUAGCCUGUAAGCAUAAUCCUUAACAUUAUUCUGUACGAUGUGCAGUAUCCUGCUUGGAGAUGCUAUCUUCUUGUCGGCACUUUUCUUCAAAAUAGUUACACUAUGAAAUUUACCUCAAAGCAGCUGACUGAGCAGGAAUUGAAUGUGUUUGGUUGGCAAUUGUUUUGAAGGUUUCUCAGCCUUGAUAGUUCCCCCAGAGAACUGCAUUUGCUUUAGGCAAUCCUUAAAGCUAGCAAGAGGAGAGGUACACAAAGGCAGUUUUGAUGCUGUUAAAAUGGUUAUAUUGGGUUGUGCAUUUGACUUGGCUUUCAGGAGAGAAUAAAAUGGUUUAUAUGGGCGUGGGUGAGAGAACGACUUAAAAGUGCAAGUUAUGCACCUGGACUAUUAAGCUAUUUGUCCCUGUGUUCUUUAAUACCUGGCUUCUGUGUCCAAAAACACACACAGGAGUAUUUUCAGGCUUGGGAUAUAUUAUAGUCUCUCAUCAGUUAAACAAGUGGGACUGAAAAAUACCAGGUUCUUACUAUUUCUUUUCUCUAAUGCCUGUUUCAAUAGAGAUAUGAGUUCUGGGAGCACUGUAUGACUUCAUGCUUUUUUUUUUCCAGAAGUAAUGAUAAAGAAGUAACAUGAAAGACUAGCCCAAACAAAAUCUUUGAACUGGGAGAUGAACCAGAUAAAAGACAUACAUUUCCCAAUUCAUUGCUAUUUGUGCUUGUGAAUUUUUGGCAAAGCAAGUGCUCCCUUGAGUUCCCAGAUGCCCUAUUUAAUUGGAAAUCUUAAAGGCAUAACCCAAAGUUAUCUUAAAGGCAUAACCAAAGUAUGGGCAAUGUUUCAUGAACAAAGGAAAUAGGAAAAUAGCAUAUAUUAAUCACCAUUUCUGAGUGCAAGAACGUUUUAAAUUCAUUUUGGUUUAUAUUUAAGAAAAAAUUUGCAUGCAAACUUGCCAGGAUGUAUGUUGGUCAAAAUGUAUUGUGCUCCCCUAGAAGGAGCCAGGGAGGGAGAAUAUAAACUGCAACAUUCCCUGGGCUUCUGCAAUAUUGCAUCUGCUCUCAAUUAAAGUGAGAUGUGGUUUCUAGGGACUGUAUCUAUGGUAUUUAUCUUAGAACCAUAUUUUUUAUUAUUUUGAAAUGAUUUUAUGAAUUGCAAUUGUAGCUUAAAUAAAGGCGUGUUACAGUAGUGACCAUAUUG